CCUAGGCUACUAUGCAGAUUCAGGUAUUUUGCCGACUGUAGAGCUCCUCAUAGAGUCGCGAUAUAUUUAUAUUUUACUCUGCCGUUCUAAACAGCCUACUUAUUGUGGCUUGUUCAACCUGUACACAAUGAAAAUGCCUUUGUUGUGGAGGUGAAGGAUUAACAAUAGGGAAAAAUCUCCAAAGAGCUAUAUCUACUGACAAGGUGUACUCAGGUCUUGGAGCAGGUGCGGCUCCUCCUGCAGUAGAACUCCAUAGAACGCUGCUUUCGCCCCAGCUCCAGCUGAGCGCAGACACUCAUAGAUCUCUCGCAUCUUUGCCUCACUGGUGGCAGCUGCUCUGAUCUCUGAAUACUUCUCAGGGUGGACCAGUCCCUUGGAGAGCAGCGCAUCUGCGAUGGGCAUCACGUUAUACACCCUGCCAAUGAGCUCAGCUCUGUGCCUGUCCACAAACACUGCUGCCUCUGAAAUGAAAAAAUAAGAGAAGAAACACAAAGGAAAUAACUUACUGUGAAUUUUAAUUUGUCCAACUUUUGAAUUCAUGACCUAUGCUAUACGAGUAUGGAUAGAGAGUUCUGUAGAAGUUACUUGAAUAAAUGUCUGAAUAUUC